GUCUACGGCCAUACCACCCUGAACGCGCCCGAUCUCGUCUGAUCUCGGAAGCUAAGCAGGGUCAGGCCUGGUUAGUACUUGGAUGGGAGAUAAGAAAGCUGACGCCAAGAGA
ensembl:rRNA 5S_rRNA 5S ribosomal RNA